rnacentral:tRNA from 1 species
AGGAAUAUAGUUAAUUUAUUAUAAUAUUUAUUUUGCAAAUAAAAGUAAAAUUUGUUUAAAUUUUAUUCUUA